UCACAUAUAGGCAACAUCUUAAAUGCGAGCGUAAAACGGACGUCGAGCAGUUCACUUGGCUCUCCGCGGGGGGAGGCGAGAGGCGCACCCGGGAUAUAUAUUAAGUAGGCUGUAUGCGAUCGAGAGCCGGGGAGCCCGCGUGCGGAAAGCUGAAUGGAUGGCGCCAGCGCUACGUCACCGCGCGCCGCAGCCACGCAGAGCUCAAGACAGCGCGCGAGCCGAGCGCCAGGCUCUCACUCGUUCCGUUUCUCUGGACUCGCACGGUUCACUGUUUUUGGAGCGCGUACUCGCGACCGUCUUGACUCGCACAAACCCGCGGGGGACCCCUGGCGCGACGUUCAUCUCCCGCAGCUCACGUGGCACAGGGCUGAAUAUGGUUCACGUGUUUCACCGGGAGCCUGAGAGGACGGGUAGCCGAAGGGGUUGGCUGUUAUCUUUGGUUAUCUAGCUGUAUGAGUGGUGUACAUUCUUCAUAAAGCUAGAUAACCGAAAGUAACAAGAAUCCCAUUACACUCCUGAAAAGGCAUUGAGACCCCCCAGCGUGACUCAACGAACACCUCCGCCCACUGGCCGCCACCUGUCUCCACCAUCGACAUCAGCACCACCGCCCACUUUCCACCCUGCACACAAAGACACACUCUCUGACACCCCCCAGCCAAGCUCAAAGCCGGAGGAAGACGUCGGCUCGAGUGAGGAGCGAUCAUGAACACCUGAGGGUAUCAACACCACCACCACCACCACCACCACCACCACCACCACCAGCGCUCCACUGAGGGGACACUGGCAGAGACCAGUUUCACAACAAGGAGCGGAGGAGGGGCUGGUGUUGAUGCUGCCCUCACACUGCAUCGCCUCCCCCACCACCCACCAUCAGCCUCCCACAACACCCUCCCACCCACCAGCACCACCACCACCCCCCCCCCUCUUCUUCCCAUCCGUCCUCUCGCCCUCCUCGGCAGGCUUCGGUCCCUCGCCUUCCUGUGCUGCGGUACGCAGCCCGCGCCACCAUCUUAGAAGAACCGCGCUGGCACGAAAUGGAAGAGGAGGAGGAGGAGGGGGAGGAAUGCUACACAGCUAGCAGGCCUGGUGCUUCAUCCCGCAGAAAACAAAGAAACAAACAAAAUGGACUCCCAAUGGAAGAGGAGAACACUGUUUCAUCAUGGAACGCAAAGCUGUCGUAAUGUCAGAAGCCACUCCACAUGCUCUCCAUGGACUUAACAUGUGCACCAACAGUAUUACCCUACAGCCCCCUGUGUUAUCUGUUCAAAGCGGUGCAUAGCACUAUUCUAUCACAGUAGAUUUCCAUGCAGGAGAAUCAGGAAUCAUUUUCAACAAGAUGAUGCAGUAGAGGGAAUGAUGGAACUGUGCUAUUUGGGUUAGAAAUGCAUUUGUCACGAAGAUUCCUCUGUAUCACAACUGUUAACAUUCCUAUCUACAUAAUUUUUACAUAAUAGAUUAAUUCUGAAUUACUUAACUUUUGGCUAACUUUAGUUACAUUUAUGUUCUAAAGAUUGUAGAUGCUGGGAAGACAUUUGAAUGUGUCACCCAUGGCAGCAGUGAAGGAUAAUGCGCUGUGAUUGGACGGCUCUUUGUGUCAGCUGACACAAUGGAUGACGAGUGAGCUGUCGUCUUUAUACUCUAUGCAACUGUUUAUUUUUGUUAUCUUUGUGUGUAUGUGUGUGUGUUAUUUAGCUCAUGAGUUGAAUUACGUUUAUAAAAGGAGGACUACCGCUUCAGACUACUGAUGAAAAUCAUUUAAAGGAGUCUACAGUUAAAGCACUAAACGUUAGGGCACCAAAAUACGAUUUACACGGCAUGUGCUGCCCGUGAGUGUGGGCGAGCUUUCACAAGUGGAGUGCACUUCUUAAAAGAAUGGCAUUCAUUAAGACCUCACAUUUAGCUAGGCUCGUGGAUUUGUCUCUGACAAACCCUGAACUGUUCUCCACACGGCUCCCUGCUGACGUUAAUCAGGUUCAGCAUUUAUACAUGAAGUAUUUUUGAUGGCACAACUGUGUGUGGUACACGGGUGGUGGAGGCUGAACCAGGCUCAAUACAGCCCAUGUGAUUAAAUCCUAGCUUUCAAGCUAACCAGGCUUUGAGAUGCUUGGCUUUUUCCACGUGCCAGCUAACAGCUACAUUCCAGUAGCUAGAAGCCACCACCUAUCAGCUACUAGCUAUUAGUUAGCCACAAGCUAGCAGCUACUAGCUACCAGUUAUUAGCUAGCAAUUACUAGCUAUCAACUAGUAGCAAUCGUCCAGCAGCUACCAGCUAUCAUCUAGAAGCUACCAGCUAGUAGCUAUUCGCGUGUCGGUAAUACAUCUUCAGAUGAAACAUGCCUGAUACAGUGGUCUAAAACAUUGCCUUAAUUUCCUGACUUUGACAUUGAUCACAUGUUCACUGCACACAUAUUUCCACAUCCACAUCCACACACACAUACAGACACACACACACACACACACACACACACGCGCGAGCGCGCGCGACCAAGCACGCAUGCAGUCACAAACGUACACACGCACGCACGCACGCACACACACACACACACACACACACACACACACACACACACACACACACACACACACACACACACACACACACACACACACACACACACACACACACACACACACACACACACACACACACACACACAGACAAAAGCAAUAAA